CCCGCACAAGCGGAGGAACAUGUGGUUUAAUUCGAUGAUACGCGAGGAACCUUACCUGGGCUUAAAUGCAGAGUGCAUGAAGUGGAAACACUUCUUCCCUUUCGGGGCUCUUUGCAAGGUGCUGCAUGGUUGUCGUCAGCUCGUGCCGUGAGGUGUCGGGUUAAGUCCCAUAACGAGCGCAACCCUUAUCGUUAGUUGCCAGCGGGUAAAGCCGGGAACUCUAGCGAAACUGCCGGUGUAAACCGAGAGGAAGGUGGGGAUGACGUCAAAUCAGCACGGCCCUUAUGUCCAGGGCUACACACGUGUUACAAUGGCCGGUACAGAGGGCAGCUACCUGGAGACAGGAUGCGAAUCUCGAAAGCCGGUCUCAGUUCGGAUCGGAGUCUGCAACUCGACUCCGUGAAGCUGGAUUCGCUAGUAAUCGCGCAUCAGCCAUGGCGCGGUGAAUACGUUCCCGGGCCUU
rnacentral:rRNA from 1 species